GUGACAGCACUAACAUUACAGAAAUCAACAUAACUACUGUGUGUUCUUUGAAUGAAACGGAAUAUCAGUGUAAAUGUGAGGAACAGUUUGUUUGGCCAAAUGACACGUGUCAUUCAUACGAGGCCUGUGAUGGCAUCAUUGAUGGUGCGUGUACAUGUAUUAAUGCCCUUCCAACCAAUGGACAGUUUUGCCAGUUAAAGGAAGUACCACCUUCUAGUUACAUUGUUGAUAUUGACAUGAGAUUGUUGGACAUGUUCCUGGCGAAUUACUUACGAAAUCUCAUCCCAAAUAUCAGUCUGC